CGCUUUGAGACAGGGAAGAAAAAACUGCAGUAUCUGAGCUUCGGUGACUUUGCCUUCUGCGCUGAGCUCAUGAUCCAAAACUGGACCCUUGGAGCCGUCGGACUUGAAGGAGCUCAAGGUGCUAGUGGCUGACAAGGACCUUCUGGACCUGCACAAGAGGUGACCUUGUAGGGGCCCAUGGGGCGGGGCCUGCAGUAGGGGCCCAGGUGGCUAUAGGCGUGACCCUGUCUCUCUGCAGCCUGGUGUGCACUGCUCUCCGGGGAAAGCUGGGCGUCUUCUCUGAGAUGGAAGCCAACUUCAAGAACCUGUCCCGGGGGCUGGUGAACGUGGCCGCCAAGCUGACCCACAAUAAAGAUGUCAGAGACCUGUUUGUGGACCUCGUGGAGAAGGUGAGCUGUCGUGCUCUCUGACGCCCAACCUGGUCUGUCCCUGGCCUAUACAAGUGCUAAGUAUCUCUUGGGCCCGCAGUUUGUGGAACCCUGCCGCUCCGACCACUGGCCACUCAGCGACGUGCGGUUCUUCCUGAAUCAGUAUUCAGCGUCUGUCCACUCCCUCGAUGGCUUCCGACACCAGGCCCUCUGGGACCGCUACAUGGGCACCCUCCGCGGCUGCCUCCUGCGCCUGUAUCAUGACUGAGGCGCCUCCCAACGCUCCGCCCACGCUGACAAUAAAGUUGCUCUGAGUUUG
rnacentral:sRNA from 1 species